rnacentral:rRNA from 2 species
AACUGCGAGUGAAGCGGGAAAAGCUCAAAUUUAAAAUCUGGCGGUCUCUGGCUGUCCGAGUUGUAAUUUAGAGAAGCGUCUUCCGCGCCAGACCGUGCACAAGUCUCCUGGAAUGGAGCGUCAUAGAGGGUGAGAAUCCCGUCUUUGGCACGGAUGCCUGGUGCUUCUGUGAUGCGCUCUCGAAGAGUCGAGUUGUUUGGGAAUGCAGCUCAAAAUGGGUGGUGAACUCCAUCUAAAGCUAAAUAUUGGCGAGAGACCGAUAGCGAACAAGUACCGUGAGGGAAAGAUGAAAAGCACUUUGGAAAGAGAGUGAAACAGUACGUGAAAUUGUUGAAAGGGAAACGCUUGAAGUCAGUCGCGUCGACCGAGACUCAGCCUUGCCUUGGCUUGGUGUACUUCUCGGCCCGAUGGGUCAGCAUCAAUUUUGCCCCUCGGAUAAUGGCAAGGGAAAGGUGGCACCUUUAGGGGUGUGUUAUAGUCUCCUGUCACAUGCGAGGGGUGGGAUUGAGGAACUCAGCGUGCACCUCGGUGUCGGGGCUUCG